rnacentral:rRNA from 1 species
CCCUUAGAUGUUCUGGGCCGCACGCGUGCUACACUGAGUGGAUCAGCGGGUCAGGUUGCGCGAAAGUGUUUCCUAAUCUUGAAAUCCGCUCGUGAUGGGGAUUGACGGUUGCAAUUUUCCGCCAUGAACGAGGAAUACCUUGUAAGCGCGGGUCAUCAUCCCGCGCUGAAUACGUCCCUGCCCUUUGUACACACCGCCCGUCGCUCCUACCGAUUGAGUGGUCCGGUGAGGCUUUGGGAUCUGAGCAAAAAGAGCGUUUCGCUCGUUUGGCUCGGAAAACUCAGUCGAACCUUAUCAUUUAGAGGAAGGAGAAGUCGUAACA